UUUUCGUUUUGCCUUGGUUUUGCCAUACUACUUUGCGAUUGUGUCACUGUGUGUGUUGUGGACUGUCAUGGUGUAUUGACUAUUGACCAUUUUUCACGACGGAAAAUAUAAUUUUCAAAGUCAUAUCCAUGUAAUGUGUGAUUAGUUAAUUACCGUCGUUAAUAUAACUAAUUUAACAAUUACGCUCUAUAAUUAAUAGUGGGAAGAUUGACUUGAAAUGAUAUAAUUAAAGCUGUAUCGACAUAAAAAUCAUGAAUCCUAUCCUGGGUUUCGUUUCUUUUCUUUUUUAUUUUGUAGCUGUAUGUCAGGGAUCAGGCACGGAUAUUGAGUUAGAUGCGAAAGCGACGUUGUUACAUCGAAUAGACAGUUUGAAUCUGUUGAUAUAUACAUGUCUUCUUACUCUGACCGUUCUUACUAUAUGGGUUUUCAAGCACCGUCGAGUCAGCUGGCUUCAUGAAACAGGACUGGCCGUAAUAUAUGGUCUGAUUGUGGGUGCAAUAAUUCGCUAUGCGGGCAGUUCAAAUCACAUCACCUACAUUGAUGUGUCCCCUAAUGUGGACACAAAGUACAACUUGUCUGUACCACCAGACAUGUUACGUUUCCACUUUCCUGAUAAGAUUCCAAUAUCACCUGGAGAUGCUCCAGUGCCAAACAAGACCUACGCCUACAGCUUUAGAGGAGAAAUAGUCAAUGUGGAACAGAACGAAAUAGAUUUGAAGGCAACAUUUGAUCCUGAGAUAUUCUUUAACAUUAUUCUACCUCCUAUUAUAUUUCAUGCUGGAUACUGUCUUAAGAGGAAAUAUUUCUUCCGCAACUUGGGAGCCAUUUUGACAUUCGCGAUGGUUGGUACUGCUUUGUCGGCUCUAGUCAUCGGAUCUCUGAUGUACGGGUGUGUUCAACUGAUGCCAGCGUCGUUGGCAGCGAGUUUCACUUUCCUGGACACCCUGUAUUUUGGUGCAUUGAUCUCGCCCACCGACCCUUUGACUGUUCUUGCCAUAUUUUCACAAUUGAAGGUGGAUGUGAAUUUAUACGCGAUGAUAUUCGGAGAGAGCGUGCUCAAUGACGCCGUUGCCUUGGUGCUCAGCGGAGCUAUACAAAACUACGAAACACGAUACUCUAAAGAUGGCGGAUUCGAAAUAACGGCAUUUUUGGGUGCGAUCGGCGAUUUCAUAGGAAUCUUCAGUCUUUCUCUACUCGUCGGUGCUUUCAUGGGCUGUUUGACUGCAUUGAUGACGAAGUUCACGCACGUCCGCGAGUGGCCGCUGCUGGAGUCGGCGCUGUUCGUGCUCAUGUCGUACGCCGCCUUCCUCAUCGCGGAGGUCUUCGAGCUCACAGGUGUGGUGGCGGUGCUGUUCUGCGGCAUAUGUCAGGCGCACUACACAUACAACAACUUGUCGUCGGACUCGCGCAACCGCACCAAGCAGCUGUUCGAGCUGUUGAACUUUCUGGCCGAAAACUUCAUAUUCACGUACAUAGGCGUCUCGAUGUUCACUUUCCCGAAACAUCACUUCGAUCCGUGGUUCAUCAUCGCUGGUUUUAUAACGUCGACUCUCGGCCGCGCUAUCAACAUCUACCCGCUUUCGUUUCUGCUGAAUCUGGGACGCAAGCCGCCCAUACCCAUGAACUUCCAACACAUGCUGUUCUUCUCAGGUCUGCGCGGCGCGAUGUCGUUCGCGCUGGCGAUCCGCAACACGGUGUCGGAGGCGCGGCAGGCGAUGCUCACCACCACGUCGCUGAUCGUCAUCGCCACCGUGGUGCUGCAGGGCGGCGCCGCCACGCACGCGCUCGCCUACCUGCGCAUACCUACAGGGCAAGGGCAAAGCGAUGAGAAUGAAGCGUUGCCUUACCGUGACGUCAGAAGUCUCUACCAGGCCACGGACACCGGUGGACCGCCCACCGAACUAGGUUUCGGCCUCAGAAACAUGGAUGGCACGCAACCGGCUAGUUGCGACAGAGCAGUAAGACUAAUAUUAUAAAAUGCACGCAAUAUUUACUUCACAUGUGUUAACUAGCAAGACUAACAAUUAACAACGUGUUCCCACUACAAAUUACCUUCUCUCUGCACUAUUUAUAAUUAAAUUGCAUGUUAUAUUUAAAAUCGUACACUUAUCGAAUACCAGUCUAACAUUUUUUUAAAACACUAAAGUAUUUUGUAGUGCCAACACUAAGUGCAAUGACCUCGGAUAUAUUAUAAUUUGCAUCGUUUCGGUUACGUUUAAUCAACAACGCGACGCUGUAUAGAAUUCUCGAAUGUUCUUUAAUCGAAUCGACGUUCUAUCCGGUGUCGUGGUGAGCAUGUUACACUCACUUUAUGGCUUUCUUUGGUUUCCUUUUAAUAUCUAGCGAGGCCGCAUGGUAGUUAAGUGGUCUAAUGGCGCGAAGGAGGUGAUUAUGCCUUGGCAACUAAACAGUUACGACGAGACGCCGCACGGC
rnacentral:misc_RNA from 1 species